rnacentral:lncRNA from 1 species
GAUACCCUAUACAAAUUUAGUCCACUUCCACAUAGCCUUAAUUGACAAAUGAACAAGAGACUCAUAAUACAAGAAAGGCCGUUGAUUCUGGCGUGUUCUCAUCAUCUCAUACUACCGUUUCUGCUGUUGUGAAAUCUACUCAUUCUGCCUGUUUCCCAGCUGUCGACACACGGUCUAAUCCAAAGUCAACUCAAAAACCUGGAAAGAUCCCUAAUUAUAUCAGUAAGCUUUCAAUCAAAUUCCCCUCAGAAAUCAAUAUUGUUCCUGGAAUUUGAGUUAUAAAAUAAUAAUAAGCAGAUUUU